UAUUUCACUCAUAUCACCCUGCAGCCAAGAGCGGUUAAUCACUGAAGCUCAGCAGGGCUGAGCCUGGUCAGUACCUGGAUGGGAGACCACAUAGGAACACUAGGUUGCUGUGGGAA
rnacentral:rRNA from 1 species